rnacentral:rRNA from 1 species
GACGAACGCUGGCGGCGUGCUUAACACAUGCAAGUCGAACGGAAAGGCCCUGCUUUUGUGGGGUGCUCGAGUGGCGAACGGGUGAGUAACACGUGAGUAACCUGCCCUUGACUUUGGGAUAACUUCAGGAAACUGGGGCUAAUACCGGAUAGGAGCUCCUGCUGCAUGGUGGGGGUUGGAAAGUUUCGGCGGUUGGGGAUGGACUCGCGGCUUAUCAGCUUGUUGGUGGGGUAGUGGCUUACCAAGGCUUUGACGGGUAGCCGGCCUGAGAGGGUGACCGGCCACAAUGGGACUGAGAUACGGCCCAGACUCCUACGGGAGGCAGCAGUGGGGAAUAUUGCACAAUGGGCGGAAGCCUGAUGCAGCAACGCCGCGUGCGGGAUGACGUCCUUCGGGUUGUAAACCGCUUUCGCCUGUGACGAAGCGUGAGUGACGGUAAUGGGUAAAGAAGCACCGGCUAACUACGUG